rnacentral:snRNA from 1 species
AAAAUGAAUAAAUAUUAAAAGAUAUUUUUUAAAAAACACAGAGAUUAGCAUGGCCCCUGUGCAAGGAUGACAUGCAAAUUUGUGAAGUGUCCCAUAUUUUA